AACAGAUUUAAGGAAUUCAACUAUUGGAAAGAGUCUAGCAUGUUGCAUGCAUGUGUCUCCUUUCUAAUGAUAGCUUUUAUAUCAUUUCUGUGUAGUACUUGUGACAAAGCUAUUUUUAAGUCAGAUUAGAUGCGGCAUUGUCUUAGUGCAUUUUCUGCUACUGUAACAGAAUACCUGAUACUGGGUAGUUCAUAAAGAACAGAUUUAUUUGUCUUAUAGUUCAGAGACUAGGAAAUUCAAGAGCAUAGUAUUGUCUGGUGAGUUGUGUCUGUCAUCCCGUGACAGAAGGCUGGAGAGCAAGGGAAAGAGGGAGGAAGAGAGGUAAAUAGGGAAUUUUGGGAAGAAAGAAAGAAAAAGAAGCAUGUAAAAGCAAGUGAGAGGGGGCGUCAAAUGACUUUUAUAACAAAUCUACUCUGAUAACAAACCCACUUUCAGGAUAAUGACAUUAGUUCAUUAAUGAGGGCAAAGGACUUAUUACCUCUUGUUAAAAGCCACCUCCCAAUAAUGUUGCAUUGAUGAUUAAAUUUUUAACACCUGAACUUUGGGGGACACAUUCAAAUCAUAAUAGUUGUAUUGUUAUUGAUGAUCUAGAAACCUUUGAAUAUAUGUUCUUUCUGCUUCUUUGUUCUCCCUGUAUCAGAUUCUGCUUCUGUAUUUUUUUAGACAGAAGUUCUUUGGCUGGCUUUUUAUUUGGUUGUAAAAUUAUAAGGUCAGAUAGAUUAUCUCUCAUUUGCUAUACAACUUGAUGUUUUAAAGUACUGGGAUUUUAUGAUUUAUUUUAAAAAUAACUUCUGUGGUCACUCUGAGGCAGGAUAUUUGAUAUAGAUCUGUGUUAUUAUGUAUUUUGUCUAUUUUUUUACACCUACUCUGAAGAGUUAGGCUGUGAACUAAUACAGUUUUCUCAAUUAUCAGGAAAAUGGUAAUGUAUUAUGAAUAGAUUUUAGAAAGUUUUAGGAAAAUGAUAAAGAUAUCCUGUUUAAAACUUGACUGCUGAAAGUUAAUUUGGUCUUAUAUUUUUCAAUCUUCUGAUUGAUAUUUGACUAGUGUUAUAAUUUUAUGAUACUUAGAGAUCUUAGGUGCUGCUGUAAUGAUGUUGUUUUUGGAGGCUUACAUGGAUGAGGUAGUAGAAUCUAAAUUUACCCCUCCAGGAUUUCUUCCUCUAGCUUGGAAACAUUUUAAGAGGAGAUAGAGGUAAAUGACAUUUUUGAAUCCCUGUGAACCAAUUGAAACCUGAAUCCUGCUAUUUUUAACCAAUUGACUUGAUUGAGCUAUCCUAAUUUUUGCUUUCAUUUCCUUCUUUUCAGAAAGGAUGUAAUACUACUUCAAACAUUUUCUUUUGAGGUUCAGACUGAGAUUAAGAAGUAUAAUAUCAAAUGUUUAACACCACUGAUAGUAUAAUUCAUUUUGCUGUUGCUGAUUUGAGACUAUUGUGGUAAUUAGGUAGACAGAUGUCCAUGUUGGUUAUCAACUAGGUUAAUAUAUAAGAUAAACAUUUAAAUGGCAUUUUAUGAAACUUACAUUUCCAGACUCUUCAACACAGAGAUAAUAUAUUCAGUGUUUUUAUAAAUUAGGGUUAAUAUAUUCAGGAGAUUGGUUUUCCUCACUCCCAGUUCUCCUCGUAUACUCCUGUAUUUUGUUUCUCAAGCCCUCCUUGUGAGUGAUUUUAUGUGUAAUACCUGACAUAAAUAUUUCACAUUUGUAAGAAAUUCUGUUUCUAAUAAAUAUUGACUUCAGCCUUUAAAAUCUACUAUGGUAAAUACUUGCCUUUAAUGUUUUUUUUUUUUUUUUCUUUUCC
rnacentral:lncRNA from 1 species